rnacentral:rRNA from 1 species
CAAAAAGGGGGCUGCGGAAGGAUCAUUACCGAGUGCGGGUCCUUUGGGCCCAACCUCCCAUCCGUGUCUAUUGUACCCUGUUGCUUCGGCGGGCCCGCCGCUUGUCGGCCGCCGGGGGGGCGCCUCUGCCCCCCGGGCCCGUGCCCGCCGGAGACCCCAACACGAACACUGUCUGAAAGCGUGCAGUCUGAGUUGAUUGAAUGCAAUCAGUUAAAACUUUCAACAAUGGAUCUCUUGGUUCCGGCAUCGAUGAAGAACGCAGCGAAAUGCGAUAACUAAUGUGAAUUGCAGAAUUCAGUGAAUCAUCGAGUCUUUGAACGCACAUUGCGCCCCCUGGUAUUCCGGGGGGCAUGCCUGUCCGAGCGUCAUUGCUGCCCUCAAGCCCGGCUUGUGUGUUGGGUCGCCGUCCCCCUCUCCGGGGGGACGGGCCCGAAAGGCAGCGGCGGCACCGCGUCCGAUCCUCGAGCGUAUGGGGCUUUGUCACAUGCUCUGUAGGAUUGGCCGGCGCCUGCCGACGUUUUCCAACCAUUCUUUCCAGGUUGACCUCGGAUCAGGUAGGGAUACCCGCUGAACUUAAGCAUAUCAUAAGGCCGGAAGAAUCNUUNCCGAGUGCGGGUCCUUUGGGCCCACCUCCAUCGUGUCUAUUGUACCUGUUGCUUCGCGGGCCGCCUUGUCGCGCGGGGGGGCGCUCUGCCCGGGUCGUGCCGCCGAGACCCACCGAAACUGUCUGAAA